GCUCUUUUAUACUUUAUUUGCUUUGAUAAAAAAUAUAACCAAAAUCAAAAGAGAAGGUACAGUAAAUGUACCCCAUAUACACCUCAACACAGGCCCUUUGCCUGGUCUGUAUUGUGAAUUGGGGGACAAAU